rnacentral:rRNA from 1 species
CUGAACUUAAGCAUAUCAAUAAGCGGAGGAAAAGAAACCAACAGGGAUUGCCCCAGUAACGGCGAGUGAAGCGGCAACAGCUUAGAUUUGAAAUCUGGCCCUUGGGCCCGAGUUGUAAUCUGCAGGGGAAGCUUCGGGCGCGGCGUCUUCUGAGUCCCCUGGAACGGGGCGCCAGAGAGGGUGAGAGCCCCGUACGGUCGACCGCCCAGCCCAUGUGAAGCUCCUCCGACGAGUCGAGUAGUUUGGGAAUGCUGCUCUAAAUGGGAGGUAAAUUUCUUCUAAAGCUAAAUACCGGCCAGAGACCGAUAGCGCACAAGUAGAGUGAUCGAAAGAUGAAAAGCACUUUGAAAAGAGGGUUAAAAAGUACGUGAAAUUGUUGAAAGGGAAGCGCCUGUGACCAGACUUGAGCCCGGCGGCUCCGCCUGUCUUCUGGCAGGCUCACUCCGCCGGGCCCAGGCCAGCAUCGGUUUUCGGAGGGGGACAAAAGCGGUGGGAAUGUGGCUCCCUCGGGAGUGUUAUAGCCCGCCGCAGAAUACCCUUCUGGAGACCGAGGUCCGCGCCCUGCAAGGAUGCUGGCGUAAUGGUCACCGGCGACCCGUCUUGAAACACGGACCAAGGAGUCAAACGUUUGUGCGAGUGUUCGGGUGCUAAACCCCAGCGCGUAAUGAAAGUGAACGGAGGUGAGAGCCCUCGGGCGCAUCACCGACCGAUCCUGAUGUCUUCGGAUGGAUUUGAGUACGAGCACAGCUGUUUGGACCCGAAAGAUGAUGAACUAUGCCUGUAUAGGGUGAAGCCAGAGGAAACUCUGGUGGAGGCUCGCAGCGGUUCUGACGUGCAAAUCGAUCGUCAAAUAUAGGCAUGGGGGCGAAAGACUAAUCGAAUCAUCUAGUUGCUGGUUCACGCCGAAGUUUCCCUCAGGAUAGCAGUGUCGAGCUCAGUUUUAUGAGGUAAAGCGAAUGAUUAGGGACUCGGGGGCGCCAUAUUGCCUUCAUCCAUUCUCAAACUUUAAAUAUGUAAGAAGCCUUUGUUGCUUAAUUGAACGUGGGCAUUCGAAUGUAUCGACACUAGUGGGCCAUUUUUGGUAAGCAGAACUGGCGAUGCGGGAUGAACCGAACGCGGGGUUAAGGUGCCAGAGUGGACGCUCAUCAGACACCACAAAAGGUGUUGAAGAAUUAGAACAGCAGGACGGUGGCCAUGGAAGUCGGCAUCCGCUUAGUCAGUUCAACAGACUCACCUGCCGAAUUCUUCAGCCCUGAAAAUGGAUGGCGCUCAAGCGUCCCACCCAUACCCCGCCCUCAGGCUAGAAACGAUGGCCUGAGGAGUAGGCGUGCGUGGAGGUCUGUGACGAAGCCUAGGGCGUGAGCCCGGGUCGAACGGCCUCCAGUGCAGAUCUUGGUGGUAGUAGCAAAUACUUCAAUGAGAACUUGAAGGACCGAAGUGGGGAAAGGUUCCAUAUGAACAGCAGUUGGAUAUGGGUUAGUCGAUCCUAAGCCAUAGGGAAGCUCCGUUUCAAUAGGGCACUUGUGCCCUCUUUGGCGAAAGGGAAACCGGUCAACAUUCCGGUACCUGGAUGUGGGUUUUGCGCGGCAACGCAACUGAACGCGGAGACGGUGGCGGGGGCCCUAGGCAGAGUUCUCUUUUCUUCUUAACGGCCCGUAACCCUGGAAUCAGUUUGUCUGGAGAUAGGGUCUGACGGCCGGAAGAGCCCAGCACUUCUGUUGGGUCUGGUGCGCUCUCGACGCCCCUUGAAAAUCCGCGGGAGGGAAUAAUUCUCACGCCAGGUCGUA